rnacentral:ncRNA from 1 species
AGAACUGAUAAUCCGAAGAGUCGAAUGAUGGGGUAACGCCUUGAAAGGCUCUCACUAAUACUCCGACUGGCGUUACUGCGUGCAAUAGCAGAAAGGUCAGAAGCUCGGUGAAGACGGCAGAAUGCAACCGUAACAUAGAUUUAGUAAUACUAUGUCGAAAGCUGCCCAGAGGUGGAUGGUGUUGCAGAUAUGCCGGGUGUCGA